rnacentral:tRNA from 1 species
AUCUAGGUGGCACAAUGGAUAGAGCACCAGGCCUGGAAUCAGGAAGACUUCAGUUUAAAUCUGACCCCAGACA